AGAACGAACGCUGGCGGCAGGCCUCAAACAUGCAAGUCUAGGGGGUGUAGCAAUACAUCACCGGCGGACGGGUGCGUAACGCGUGGGAAUAUACCUAUUGGUUCGGAACAACUGAGGGAAACUUCAGCUAAUACCGAAUAAGUCCUUACGGAGAAAGAUUUAUCGCCAAUAGAUUAGCCCGCGUUCGAUUAGCUAGUUGGUGGGGUAACGGCCCACCAAGGCGACGAUCGAUAGCUGUUCUGAGAGGAAGAUCAGCCACACUGGGACUGAGACACGGCCCAGACUCCUACGGGAGGCAGCAGUUGGGAAUCUUGGACAAUGGGGGAAACCCUGAUCCAGCCAUGCCGCGUGAGUGAUGAAGGCCUUGGGUUGUAAAACUCUUUCGCGCACGACGAUAAUGACGGUAGUGCGAGAAGAAGCUCCGGCUAACUUCGCGCCAGCAGCCGC
rnacentral:rRNA from 1 species